GAUGAACGCUAGCGAUAGGCUUAACACAUGCAAGUCGAGGGGCAGCAUGGUCUUAGCUUGCUAAGACUGAUGGCGACCGGCGCACGGGUGCGUAACGCGUAUGCAACUUGCCUCACAGAGGGGGAUAACCCGUCGAAAGACGGACUAAUACCGCGUACACUCCAUCUUGGGCAUCCAAGGUAGAGGAAAUGAAAUUCGCUGUGAGAUAGGCAUGCGUCCCAUUAGCUAGUUGGUGAGGUAACGGCUCACCAAGGCGACGAUGGGUAGGGGAACUGAGAGGUUGAACCCCCACACUGGUACUGAGACACGGACCAGACUACUACGGGAGGCAGCAGUGAGGAAUAUUGGUCAAUGGGCGAGAGCCUGAACCAGCCAAGUCGCGUGAAGGAUGACUGUCUUAUGGAUUGUAAACUUCUUUUAUACGGGAAUAACAAGAGUCACGUGUGACUCCCUGCAUGUACCGUAUGAAUAAGCAGCGGCUAACUCCGUG
rnacentral:rRNA from 1 species